rnacentral:rRNA from 1 species
GACGAACGCUGGCGGCGUGCCUAAUACAUGCAAGUAGAACGCACAGUUUAUACCGUAGCUUGCUACACCAUAGACUGUGAGUUGCGAACGGGUGAGUAACGCGUAGGUAACCUGCCUGGUAGCGGGGGAUAACUAUUGGAAACGAUAGCUAAUACCGCAUAAUAUUAAUUAUUGCAUGAUAAUUGAUUGAAAGAUGCAACUGCAUCACUACCAGAUGGACCUGCGUUGUAUUAGCUAGUAGGUGAGGUAACGGCUCACCUAGGCGACGAUACAUAGCCGACCUGAGAGGGUGAUCGGCCACACUGGGACUGAGACACGGCCCAGACUCCUACGGGAGGCAGCAGUAGGGAAUCUUCGGCAAUGGACGAAAGUCUGACCGAGCAACGCCACGUGAGUGAAGAAGGUUUUCGGAUCGUAAAGCUCUGUUGUAAGAGAAGAACGGGUGUGAGAGUGGAAAGUUCACACUGUGACGGUAUCUUACCAGAAAGGGACGGCUAACUACGUG